AGAGUUUGAUCCUGGCUCAGAACGAACGCUGGCGGCAGGCUUAACACAUGCAAGUCGAACGAUAUAGUGGCAGACGGGUGAGUAACGCGUGGAAACGUGCCUUUCACUACGGAAUAGCUUUUGGAAACGAAAGGUAAUACCGUAUACGCCCUCCGGGGGAAAGAUUUAUCGGUGAAAGAUCGGUCCGCGUUAGAUUAGCUAGUUGGUAAGGUAACGGCUUACCAAGGCUACGAUCUAUAGCUGGUCUGAGAGGAUGAUCAGCCACACUGGGACUGAGACACGGCCCAGACUCCUACGGGAGGCAGCAGUGGGGAAUAUUGCACAAUGGGCGCAAGCCUGAUGCAGCCAUGCCGCGUGAAUGAUGAAGGCCUUAGGGUUGUAAAAUUCUUUCGCCAGGGAUGAUAAUGACAGUACCUGGUAAAGAAGCCCCGGCUAACUUC
rnacentral:rRNA from 1 species